AUACGGAGGGUGCAAGCGUUAAUCGGAAUUACUGGGCGUAAAGCGUACGUAGGCGGUCCGUUAAGUUAGAUGUGAAAGCCCCGGGCUUAACCUGGGAACUGCAUUUAAAACUGACGAACUAGAGUUGAGUAGAGGGGAGUGGAAUUUCAGGUGUAGCGGUGAAAUGCGUAGAGAUCUGAAGGAACACCAGUGGCGAAGGCGACUCCCUGGACUCGAACUGACGCUGAGGUACGAAAGCGUGGGUAGCAAACGGGAUUAGAAACCCGAGUAGUCC
rnacentral:rRNA from 1 species